rnacentral:rRNA from 1 species
AAUAUUGCACAAUGGGCGAAAGCCUGAUGCAGCGACGCCGCGUGAGUUAAAAAGGUCAUCGGUUCGUAAAACUCGGCCCUUGGUGAAGAUAGAAAUGACGGUAGCCAAGUAGGAAUCCCUGGCUAACUACGUGCCAGCAGACGCGGUAAUACGUAGGGGACUAGCGUUGUCCGGAUUUACUAGGCGUAAAGGGUGAGUAGGCGGUUACAUAAGUCAGAUGUAACAGGCUAAGGCUUAACCAUAGUAUGCAUUUGAAACUGUGUGACUUGAGUACAGGAGAGGUAAGUGGAAUUCCUAGUGUAGCGGUGAAAUGCGUAGAUAUUAGGAGGAACACCAGUGGCGAAGGCGACUUACUGGACUGUAACUGACGCUGAGUCACGAAAGCGUGGGUAGCAAACAGG